ANAGUUUGAUGCUGGCUCAGAUUGAACGUUGGCGGCAGGCCUAACACAUGCAAGUCGAGCGAGAAAGCACCUCGGUGUGAGUACAGCGGCGGACGGGUGAGUAACGCGUAGGAAUCUACCCGGUAGUGGGGGACAACUUGUGGAAACGCAAGCUAAUACCGCAUACGCCCUAUGGGGGAAAGCGGGGGAUCUUCGGACCUCGCGCUAUCGGAUGAGCCUGCGUAGGAUUAGCUAGUUGGUGGGGUAAAGGCUCACCAAGGCGACGAUCCUUAGCUGGUCUGAGAGGAUGAUCAGCCACACUGGGACUUAGACACGGCCCAGACUCCUACGGGAGGCAGCAGUAGGGAAUAUUGGACAAUGGGGGAAACCCUGAUCCAGCAAUGCCGCGUGAGUGAAGAGGGCCUUUGGGUUGUAAAGCUCUUUCACCUGUGACGAUAAUGACGGUAGCAGGAUAAGAAGCCCCGGCUAACUCCGUGCCAGCAGCCGCGGUAAGACGGAGGGGGCUAGCGUUGUUCGGAAUGACUGGGCGUAAAGGGUGUGUAGGCGGUUUCUUAAGCAGGGUGUGAAAGCCCUGGGCUCAACCCAGGAAUUGCGCUUUGAACUGAGGAACUAGAGGACGGAAGAGGGAAGUGGAAUUCCUAGUGUAGGAGUGAAAUCCAUAGAUAUUAGGAGGAACACCGAAGGCGAAGGCAGCUUCCUGGUCCGUAUCUGACGCUGAGACACGAAAGCGUGGGGAGCGAAUAGGAUUAGAUACCCUAGUAGUCCACGCCGUAAACGAUG
rnacentral:rRNA from 1 species